GAAGGAAGCCCACACAGCCAGUUCCACCUCCUCUCUGCAGUAUCCUUGACUGCAGUUCGGUUUCUGUCUGUUUUGUCUGAAGGUGGAUAGAAAAUUGCACAAUUGGGCGUUUUGAAGGGCACUGCUGGACAGAUAGAAACCUGCAGAGCAUGGCACGCUGCCUGAGGUUCUUGUAUAAGCUGAAAAGAAGGAUACGAAUAAUCUCAUAAACAAACACAACUGAACGGCUAAACAUUCAAGCUGGCCACGGUGGUGUUGUAUUGGACUUCUGCUCAAAUUAAGAUUUCCAGAGACAGCUGCACAAAUACACACAAAUUCAAACGAACAGAGUAACAGGAAUAUAUUGACUCUGUUCUUCCAAACGACCUUUAGAUGUGAAUCCGAAAGGAUUGAAGAAAGCUGGAGCUCCUGAGGUAAGGAGAGGAGGAGAAUGACUUCAGCCGCUGCAAGCUAAAAGGACAAGAUUGAUUUCCAUUUGGUGGCAGAAUACUGGUAUUUUAUCUGUGGGAAACAGUAAACACAAGCAUGAGAUUUUUCUUAAGCUUUCAUGUGCUGUGUUGCUCCCACUCUGUGUCCAUUCCAAACAGCAUGGGGGUUUGCUUGAGUUGGAAAUGAGCAAGUGCCAGAGGGCCUGAGUGAAUACAGUCAGAAAGAUAACAGGGCAUCACUUUCAGAACUUUGCGUGAUGUGGAAACAAAUCAAUCCAUUCUGUGAAUCUAAUGAUGCUGCACAAAGGAUGCAUACAGCUGAGAUAGGAGUCAUUCAUACAGAGGCAUAUACAAAUCUACUUGCCAACUCACAGGUGGUGAGUGCUGCCAGCUUUCUGACAAGCAGGACACCCAACACCACACAGAUCUCCUUCCCAGAGGUCUCAUACCAUGUUUGAGAAAGUAAGAGAUGGCAGGAAUCCUUUCUGAGCAGUAGGCGAUGGAUCCCAUUGUUUCUUACCAUCUCCCUAUCCCAGUGCAAAGGACAGAAGACCCACUUAUCUCCUAAGACCUCUGCCUUUGUGCCAGAAAAGGAUCUGAGGGAAGAGAGGGGAUUGGUGGCAACCACAAAUAAUGGCUGGCUAGUGAGCUAAGUCUUAAUUUGUGGGUCCCUGCCAUACAUUUGAUAUUAUUAUCUUCUGGCCUUAAUAAAGGCUUAUAUCUUGCCACAAAAAGUAAUUAUACUACACGGGGUAUUAUGUAGACUGAGCACCAUCCAGUGAAGUUUGGACUUGCCUAGAUCCCAGUUAAUGGGCUAACUGACUUGAAGAGUGAAGGGAGACAUACAUUUCUGAAUGUAGCUUGAAAACAUAUUCUUUGCCCUGAAGACAAAUGGCUGUAGCUCCAUGCAAGCAUUCAACCUGUGUUUUUUAAAAAGGCACAUGUGGAAGGGAUAUGGAGGUCAUGUCUGAUGGUCUUCACACCCACAUGGUCAAGGUUCCUGCCUUUGCUCCAAGACACUAAUAUACAUAUUCAACACCAAUAUGCUCACCCUUCAUACCACCAAUAUGCUCACCCUUCAUAUCACCAAUAUUCUCACCAAUAUGCUCUUCCGGCACCAAUCCGGUGAAAGUGUCUGGGAGUAUGUUAACAGCCAGGAAACCCCUCACCAUGAAUCAAAGAGAAGAUUCAGUUGCUGAGUGCUGCAAAGAUGCACACAUUCUUCCCAGAAAAAUAUUUGUGGUGCCAAUGUGAAAACUCAGUGCAUUCUUCAAACAAGUCAGGACUCCUUAUUGAAACCAAUUGCUCUGGUAUGCUAGGCAAUUUUAUUUAUAGUGUCAUUAAACCAACAUAUGUAUUUGGGUUCAGAAGAGGAGUUGCAGCCAAACCUUAGGUGGCUGGAAAUGAAUGUCAUCUGAAGCAACACGUGGUGUCAUUACAGGCUUUUAACAGCCGUUUAAUGGUACCAGGGAUUUUGAUGUGCUGCACUUUGCAGAUAUGUAAAAUGAUGCCAGAUUAUGAGUGUCUCCUGACCCUUGCAUAUGACAACGCUGGAAUACUGUAACAUGUAUGUGGCAGCAGCAGCAGCCAAUGAAAGCCAAGCUAGAGUGAAUGUUUUGGCCGUGACGUUCUUAUCGGUUGGAUUGUACUGAUUCCAGCUUCAGAUGGCCUGCAUCAGAUCACGGCCACCUUUAAUUUUGCAGACUUCAGUAAGGUCAUUUAGUGGGCAUUAUAUCAAAGUAAAGAAGGAAAAUCAAAGUUGAAAUGCUUGAAGAAGGGUACCGGUCUGGAUGGAUACCAUAAACAUUCUCAAAAGCUUCAAGAGUUGUUUUCCUUUCUGAUAAAUAUCUGAUGCAAAUACG